UACGGGGGGGGGUAAGCGUUGUUCGGAAUUACUGGGCGUAAAGGGCGCGUAGGCGGCCUGUUAAGUCGAACGUGAAAUCCCUCGGCUUAACCGGGGAACUGCGCUUGAUACUGGAUGGCUUGAGUUUGGGAGAGGGAUGCGGAAUUCCAGGUGUAGCGGUGAAAUGCGUAGAUAUCUGGAGGAACACCGGUGGCGAAGGCGGCAUCCUGGACCAAUACUGACGCUGAGGAGCGAAAGCUAGGGGAGCAAACGGG
rnacentral:rRNA from 1 species